UACGGGGGGGGCAAGCGUUGUUCGGAAUUACUGGGCGUAAAGGGUUCGUAGGUGGCUUGCUAAGUCAGACGUGAAAUCCCUCAGCUUAACUGGGGAACUGCGUCUGAUACUGGCGAGCUUGAGUGCAGGAGAGGAACGCAGAAUUCCAGGUGUAGCGGUGAAAUGCGUAGAUAUCUGGAGGAAUACCGGUGGCGAAGGCGGCUUCCUGGACCGACACUGACGCUGAGGCGCGAAAGCUAGGGGAGCAAACGGG
rnacentral:rRNA from 1 species